UGGCUCAGGACGAACGCUGGCGGCGUGCCUAAUACAUGCAAGUCGAGCGAACAGAAGGGAGCUUGCUCCCGGAUGUUAGCGGCGGACGGGUGAGUAACACGUGGGUAACCUGCCUGUAAGACUGGGAUAACUCCGGGAAACCGGAGCUAAUACCGGAUAGUUCCUUGAACCGCAUGGUUCAAGGAUGAAAGACGGUUUCGGCUGUCACUUACAGAUGGACCCGCGGCGCAUUAGCUAGUUGGUGGGGUAAUGGCUCACCAAGGCGACGAUGCGUAGCCGACCUGAGAGGGUGAUCGGCCACACUGGGACUGAGACACGGCCCAGACUCCUACGGGAGGCAGCAGUAGGGAAUCUUCCGCAAUGGACGAAAGUCUGACGGAGCAACGCCGCGUGAGUGAUGAAGGUUUUCGGAUCGUAAAGCUCUGUUGUUAGGGAAGAACAAGUGCGAGAGUAACUGCUCGCACCUUGACGGUACCUAACCAGAAAGCCACGGCUAACUA
rnacentral:rRNA from 1 species